GACGAACGCUGGCGGCGCGCUUUAUACAUGCAAGUCGAACGUGAAGCUCGGAGCUUGCUCCGGGUGGAAAGUGGCGAACGGGUGAGUAUCACGUGAGAAACCUGCCCCGAAGACCGGGAUAACACCGGGAAACCGGUGCUAAUACCGGAUGCCCUCACCGGAUCGCAUGGUCUGGUGAGGAAAUGGAUUCCGCUUCGGGAUGGUCUCGCGGCCUAUCAGCUUGUUGGUGGGGUAANGGCCCACCAAGGCUUCGACGGGUAGCUGGUCUGAGAGGAUGUCCAGCCACACUGGGACUGAGACACGGCCCAGACUCCUACGGGAGGCAGCAGUAGGGAAUCUUGCACAAUGGACGAAAGUCUGAUGCAGCGACGCCGCGUGUGGGAUGACUGCCCUCGGGUUGUAAACCCACUUUCAGCAGGGACGAAAUUGACGGUACCUGCAGAAGAACG
rnacentral:rRNA from 1 species